GAAAGCAUCGCUCACACGACAAGGGAAGGCUGUGAAUAAUGUAAUAGCUGUAAAUCGAUAUGGGCCAGAAACACUACGACAAAUCCACCUCAUCGCAGCUGAGUGACAUGCUGCACCACAGCAAUACAUUACCAGAGCUGAACACCUUGGAAUGCGAUGCCCUGAAUGUCCUGACCGAGAAGAAGGUGGAAAUACUCCAUUCGGUACUUCGAAGGUAAACGGUCUUUCAAUAAAUAAUUUACUGGGACUAAAGCUAGAGCUC